AUGACGCAUGGGCGCAGCCUGAUGCAGCGACGCCGCGUGAGGGAUGAAGGCCUUCGGGUUGUAAACCUCUUUCAGUAGGGAAGAAGCCGGCCUUUCGGGGUUGGUGACGGUACCUGCAGAAGAAGCGCCGGCUAACUACGUGCCAGCAGCCGCGGUAAUACGUAGGGCGCAAGCGUUAUCCGGAAUUAUUGGGCGUAAAGAGCUCGUAGGCGGUUUGUCGCGUCUGCCGUGAAAGUCCGGGGCUUAACCCCGGAUCUGCGGUGGGUACGGGCAGACUAGAGUGCAGUAGGGGAGACUGGAAUUCCUGGUGUAGCGGUGAAAUGCGCAAAUAUCAGGAGGAACACCGAUGGCGAAGGCAGGUCUCUGGGCUGUAACUGACGCUGAGGAGCGAAAGCAUGGGGAGCGAACAGGAUUAGAUACCCUGGUAGUCCAUGCCGUAAACGUUGGGCACUAGGUGUGGGGGACAUUCCACGUUUUCCGCGCCGUAGCUAACGCAUUAAGUGCCCCGCCUGGGGAGUACGGCCGCAAGGCUAAAACUCAAUGAAAUUUGACGGA
rnacentral:rRNA from 1 species